UNUGACUUGAGUGCAGAAGGGGAGAGUGGAAUUCCAUGUGUAGCGGUGAAAUGCGUAGAUAUAUGGAGGAACACCAGUGGCGAAAGCGGCUCUNUGGUCUGUCACUGACGCUGAGGCUNGAAAGCGUGGGUAGCGAACAGGAUUAGAUACCCUGGUAGUNCACGCCGUAAACGAUGAGUGCUAGGUGUUAGGCCCUUUCCGGGGCUUAGUGCCGGAGCUAACGCAAUAAGCACUCCGCCUGGGGAGUACGACCGCAAGGUUGAAACUCAAAGGAAUUGACGGGGGCCCGCACAAGCGGUGGAGCAUGUGGUUUAAUUCGAAGCAACGCGAAGAACCUUACCAGGUCUUGACAUCCCGAUGCUAUUCUUAGAGAUAGGAAGUUACUUCGGUACAUCGGAGACAGGUGGUGCAUGGUUGUCGUCAGCUCGUGUCGUGAGAUGUUGGGUUAAGUCCCGCAACGAGCGCAACCCUUAUUGUUAGUUGCCAUCAUUAAGUUGGGCACUCUAGCGAGACUGCCGGUAAUAAACCGGAGGAAGGUGGGGAUGACGUCAAAUCAUCAUGCCCCUUAUGACCUGGGCUACACACGUGCUACAAUGGUCGGUACAACGAGUUGCGAGCCGGUGACGGCAAGCUAAUCUCUGAAAGCCGAUCUCAGUUCGGAUUGGAGGCUGCAACUCGCCUCCAUGAAGUCGGAAUCGCUAGUAAUCGCGGAUCAGCACGCCGCGGUGAAUACGUUCCCGGGCCUUGUACACACCGCCCGUCACACCACGAGAGUUUGUAACACCCGAAGUCGGUGAGGUANCCUUUUAGGG
rnacentral:rRNA from 1 species